AUGUGGCAAAACCUCCUUCCCCGGAGAACUCUUUGUCUUCGGCAGCAUCACGCUUUACACCGAUUCGACUUUCCACCUCGGCCGGAUCAAAAACUUCGUUCCAGGACAGACCAUCAGGUUUGGAAACCUGGAUUACACUGUGGACCCUACGGCGAGCUUGCAUUUUCGGGCUGGGUACCAUUGAACGAGUUCAAUGGUACGAACUAUCCUAAGACUCCACAGGAACUGUUUAAUCUCAAAUACUCUAGCCUUAGAGUUACGGUUGACAGGGCAUUUGGAGUUCCGGAGCAUAAUUUUAAGAUCCUGGAUCAGAAGCCAUUCCAUAAUUUCCCCACCUAGGUUAAGUUUGUUCUUACUUGUUGCAUUCUGCACAACUGGAUCCUGCAAUGAGGUUGUGAUGACCUGGUGCCGUAUGAGGAAUAUGUGAUGCCCGAUGAUGUUGUGAGCUUCGUUCAUGGUGUGGAGGCAUUUGACAACGAAACCUGAAAGAACAGAAGGAUGGAGUGGGCUCAGGCAAUGUGGAAGAACAGAGAUAGAAGAGUAGGAAGAAGUAGAAGCAGCAGAAAAAGAAGAGGACAAGGAUGGACUUCCAACUAG
rnacentral:rRNA from 1 species